UUGGGUAGGGGAGCGUCGUGCAUGUGUUGAAGCGUUACCGUAAGGAGGCGUGGAGUGUGUGCGAGUGAGAAUGCAGGCAUGAGUAACGAAUUGGAAGGUGAGAAUCCUUCCCGCCGGAUGACUAAGGGUUCCUGGGUCAAGUUCGUCUUCCCAGGGUGAGUCGGGACCUAAGGCGAGGCCGACAGGCGUAGUCGAUGGAUAACCAGUUGAUAUUCUGGUACCCGUAUGUCCGCGCCCAUGAUAAAGCACUGAUACUAACCACCGCGGAUAUGAUUGAUGUGUUCUUUGAGCACGUUGGUUGUUGAUGUCGUGGGGCCUGAUGUGUGGUUCAAGUGAUGGGGUGACACAGAGUAGUAGCCAUGCCGCUUAGUGGAUUGUUGGUGUAAGCGUGUGAGGUGGUGUGUAGGUAAAUCCGCACACCGUAUAGCCUGAGGCGUGAUGCGUAGCCCGAUUGGGGUGAAGUUGGUGAUCUAGUACUGUCGAGAAAAGCCUCUAGCGAUGUGGAUGUAUGGCCCGUACCCUAAACCGACACAGGUGGUCAGGUUGAAAAUACUAAGGCGUUCGGGUGAACUGUGGUUAAGGAACUCGGCAAAAUGCCCCCGUAACUUCGGAAGAAGGGGGACCACACGACUUAAACCAGUCUGUGCGCUGGUGGUGGGUUGUGGGGUCGCAGAGAAUAGAGGGAAGCGACUGUUUAUCAAAAACACAGGUCCAUGCGAAGACGUUAAGUUGAUGUAUAUGGACUGACGCCUGCCCGGUGCUGGAAGGUUAAGAGGACCGGUUAGUCAACUUUGUUGGCGAAGCUGAGAAUUUAAGCCCCAGUAAACGGCGGUGGUAACUAUAACCAUCCUAAGGUAGCGAAAUUCCUUGUCGGGUAAGUUCCGACCUGCACGAAUGGCGUAACGACUUCUCUGCUGUCUCAACCACAGGCCCGGUGAAAUUGCACUACGAGUAAAGAUGCUCGUUACGCGCGGCAGGACGAAAAGACCCCGGGACCUUCACUAUAGCUUGGUAUUGGUGUUUGGUUCGGUUUGUGUAGGAUAGGUGGGAGACUAUGAUACGCGUGCGCCAGCACGUGUGGAGUCGUUGUUGAAAUACCACUCUGAUCGGAUUGAGCAUCUAACCUUGGCCCAUGAUCUGGGUUGGGGACAGUGCCUGGUGGGUAGUUUAACUGGGGCGGUUGCCUCCCAAAAUGUAACGGAGGCGCCCAAAGGUUCCCUCAGCCUGGUUGGCAAUCAGGUAUCGAGUGUAAGUGCACAAGGGAGCUUGACUGUGAGACAGACAUGUCGAACAGGGACGAAAGUCGGGACUAGUGAUCCGGCACCUACUUGUGGAUGUGGUGUCGCUCAACGGAUAAAAGGUACCCCGGGGAUAACAGGCUGAUCUUCCCCAAGAGUCCAUAUCGACGGGAUGGUUUGGCACCUCGAUGUCGGCUCGUCGCAUCCUGGGGCUGGAGUAGGUCCCAAGGGUUGGGCUGUUCGCCCAUUAAAGCGGCACGCGAGCUGGGUUCAGAACGUCGUGAGACAGUUCGGUCUCUAUCCGCCGCGCGCGUUGAAACUUGAAGAAGGCUGUCCCUAGUACGAGAGGACCGGGACGGACGUACCUCUAGUGUGCCAGUUGUUCCGCCAGGAGCAUCGCUGGUUGGCUACGUACGGAAGGGAUAACCGCUGAAAGCAUCUAAGCGGGAAGCCUGUUUUAAGAUGAGGUUUCAUUUGAGGUCCCCUACAGACGAUGGGGUUGAUAGGCCAGACCUGGACACACCGCAAGGUGCGAAGGCUACUGGUACUAAUAGACCAAAACAAACACACCAAA
rnacentral:rRNA from 1 species